rnacentral:lncRNA from 1 species
CCGUCGCCGCCGCCGCCUGGCCGGCCCCACGCCAGGGGAGAAAGAAUCCGCGCACAGGAGGGAGGGAGCAACAGGGAAGAGAGAGAGAGAUUCUCAGAAUGGAGAGUCACGUUUGAAGGAAACAUUUUUAAAAAGGGAGAAAGACUCGGACAGGUGCUAUCGAAAAAUAAGAUCUAUUCUCUAUUCACAGUAUAAGGGGCGAAACUGCGAACUCCUUAAAGCUCUAUCUAGCCAAACCGCUUACGACCUUGUAUAUAUUUAAUUUCAGGGAAACAUCCUUCCCAGAACCUGAACUCUCUCUCCCAACGGUCCAUGACUGCGGCCACGGUGGAUGCGGGUCUGUUGGCCUCUUUCAUCCCUUGGAGCUCGCCUUGCAAUUUGCAGCUGCGGCAGCUGCUCGGCAGAGGACAGGAUGGUUUUGAACAACUCGGUGGUGUUGAUGAUGGACAGCUAUCUCUGUAUAAGGAGGCUUUGGCUGUGGGCCUGGCAAAAUGAUGGUCAACCCAUUCAUUCAACAGAUGUUUGCAGAGCACCUGCUAUGCUCCAGAAUGUGGGCCUGAAUGAGACGGGCAAGACCUCUGCCAACAUAGACCUUACAGCCUCGUCGGAGAGACAACCAAUGAACAGGUAAACACAAAGAUAAGCAUUUCCCAGAAUGUUUACAUUCGAAGGUCAGUGGUGGCAGCUGAAUUUUAUAU